rnacentral:rRNA from 1 species
CACGUAGGGGGCGAGCGUUGUCCGGAUUUAUUGGGCGUAAAGGGCUCGUAGGCGGCUCAGUAAGUCGGGUGUGAACCUCCAGGCUCAACCUGGAGACGCCACUCGAUACUGCUGUGGCUAGAGUCCGGUAGGGGAGCAUGGAAUUCCUGGUGUAGCGGUGAAAUGCGCAGAUAUCAGGAGGAACACCAGUGGCGAAGGCGGUGCUCUGGGCCGGAACUGACGCUGAUGAGCGAAGCGUGGGAGCAAACAGG